GCGGGAGUAGCUCAAUGGUAGAGUGCCUGCCUUCCAAGCAGGCUAUGAGGGUUCGAUUCCCUUCUCCCGCU
rnacentral:tRNA from 1 species